rnacentral:rRNA from 1 species
UACGGGGGGGGCAAGCGUUGUUCGGAAUUACUGGGCGUAAAGGGCUCGUAGGCGGCCAACUAAGUCAUACGUGAAAUCCCUCGGCUUAACCGGGGAACUGCGUCUGAUACUGGAUGGCUUGAGUUCGGGAGAGGGAUGCGGAAUUCCAGGUGUAGCGGUGAAAUGCGUAGAUAUCUGGAGGAACACCAAUUGCGAAGGCAGCUCGCUGGGACGUUACUGACGCUGAGACGCGAAAGCGUGGGGAGCAAACAGG